rnacentral:rRNA from 1 species
UACGGGGGGAGCAAGCGUUGUUCGGAUUUACUGGGCGUAAAGGGCGCGUAGGCGGCCAGCACAAGUCAGUUGUGAAAUCUCCGAGCUUAACUCGGAAAGGUCAACUGAUACUGUGCGGCUAGAGUGCGGAAGGGGCAACUGGAAUUCUUGGUGUAGCGGUGAAAUGCGUAGAUAUCAGGAAGAACACCCGCGGCGAAGGCGGCUCUCUGGGACGGUACUGACGCUGAGACGCGAAAGCGUGGGGAGCGAACAGG